CACUUUCUUUUCUCUCUCCCCCCCCCAUUCACACGCCUACUCUCUCUCUCUCUUACCUCUCUCUCUUUUCCCUCUCUACCACCAUGGUUAACCAUUCUCAAAGCUUCCAAUAUCAUUUUUAUACCAAGAAACUCCAUCAAAUCAAGUUCUAAACAUCUAUAUUCCUUUGAAUCAAGAGCAAGUUUUGGAGGAGUUUUCAAGAUUUGAAGUUAGAGAGAAGAAUUUUUAUUUAUUUCAAAAUCCUUGAAGGACGGAGGUAAGAUCGCCCAAGUACUACGAGAGUAAGCUAAGUUUGUCAGGAUAAGCGAGGAGGAGGAAGAUCGGUCUGGUGCUGGUGGGGACUUAUUUUGGACGACAUUGUUCCUUUUACCGUAUUUAUAUUACAUACGGUAGCUUUUUGAUGUCGUUGUUUAUAUUUUGGACUUAGUCAAGAAGUAUACUCUCGGCUAUAUGUCUUCAUACAUAUAGUCUGUUCACGUUUUGCUGCGAGACUCUGUAAAUUAUAAACCUUUGUAAAUUCUUAAGUAUGUCCGCUUUGUAAACUUUGUCGAGAAUCCCUGUACUUUUGAACUUAUGAAGCCGAUAAUAUUUGUGUCUUUGAAAUG